rnacentral:rRNA from 1 species
UACGUAGGUGGCGAGCGUUAUCCGGAUUUAUUGGGCGUAAAGCGUCCGCAGCCGGUUUAUUAAGUCUAAGAUUAAAGCCCGAAGCUCAACUUCGGUUCGUUUUAGAAACUGGUAGACUUGAGUGUGGUAGAGGCAAGUGGAACUUCUAGUGUAGCGGUAAAAUGCGUAGAUAUUAGAAAGAACACCAGUGGCGAAGGCGACUUGCUGGGCCACCACUGACGGUCAGGGACGAAAGCGUGGGGAGCAAAUAGG